rnacentral:lncRNA from 1 species
AAGGACGUCGGGAUCAAACCCAGACCCUGGCGCUCCUCGGGCGGCCCCCGAGACCCCUCUAGGUCGGGGGCCUUCAGGAUUGCGGAGACCCUCCCGCACCAACGCCAGCCACAAGUUUUAUUUUCCUCUCGCGCUGGAAGUUCUCUCUGGCUCUCGCUCCAAACCGGCACGUCUUGCGCCGCUCCCCGCCCUUCCCUGGCAGAGCUCAGAUGUCCUACUGGAGCCGCUGUUGCAAGACUCCUAAACACCCUUCCCACACUCAUUCUUACUCUGCUAAUGUGCCUGGAAAGCAUUCCCUGACCUCUCUGAUGGGUUGAAUCCCUCUCGGUAAGUCUCUUAGAAAUACCCGGAUCUUGUUCAUUUAUUUAUUCACCUGACUGGUCGCAGAGCUGAUUAAGAAGAAAGCUGACUCCUGCCUCCCAGUCUUGGGUCCAUUUCAUCCAUUUCCAAACAUAAAGCCUCCAGCUGCAUCGGGAAGAUCUUGGCCAGUUUAAAAAGGCAGAGUUUGGAUUUGUGUGCAGCGAUUUCAGGAAUGUGGGGUUUUCUGGCUUGUGUGUGUGGAUGGCACCGCAGAGGGGAAAUAAAACAGUCUUGCUGCCUUGCAUGUAGGGUCUUACUAGUAGUUAGGUGACUUUGAGCUGACAAGCCCCCCCCACCCCCCCAUCUCAAGGGCAUCAUCCAUACAUGAAGAAUCACGAUGCUUUUAAAAUAGCUCCACAAAUUCUUUGGUGCUCUUGCAAGAGGUGGAGCCUAAUUUUAGCCCCGGCGCCCUGAGCAUGGACUGCACUGAGUCACUGGCUUCGAAUGAACAGAACGUGGAAGAGAUGAUGGCAGGCGAAUUCUGAGGCUAGGGCAGAAAAAGCACGUGGCCUCUGCCUUGCUCUCUCUCCAGGGUCACUCUAGAGGAAGCCAGUUUCCAUACCAUCAGGAUGCUCCAGUAGCCUGAUAGGUCCACCCACGUGGAGGAGAACUCUAAUUUCCUGUCGACAACCCAAACCACGAUUGUGAGACGUCUUAAAGGCACAUCCACCAGCCCCAGCCGAGCCUUCGGAUGACAGCUACCCCAGCCCACGUCUCCAGAGCAACUCCACGGGAGACCUUGGGUCGGAACCUCCCAGCCAAGCCACUCCCAAUUCCCCGACCCUCAGAACCUGUGUGAGACGAUACAUACUCACUUGAAGCUACUGAGCUUCAGGGGUAAUUGGUGGCACAGCCGAGAUGACUAAUAUGGAGAUACUUCAAAAUGUGUGAAAACAGAGCUGCUUUACUUUAUAGGCGAGCAGCAGGACUUCCUAUGCUCAUGUUUUGAGAGGGCUUUCGUUAGACGCUGGCCAAAUGAACUGCAUAUUAGAUAUAAAGUAGCGAUUGCAUAUUAUUAAUGGUAUCAGAUAGCAACACAUUUCAUGUUCAAUUACCUACAAUGCUCUUGCUGGAGCAUCGCUUUGCUCAUCUUCUUAUCCCCACUGCACACUUACAAAAGGUCACUGUCGAGAUAUAAAAGUAUACGUGUGAUUUAAAUAUCUUGACUCAGUUACUAACAACCAUGAGCGUGUUUCCACAUUGGAAGAGCAAGAUCCAUUUAAACUUGCUCUUUUUCUCGGAGCGCUCUCUGUUUACUUUUCGGUAUUGGGUUUCACCAGCAGGCCAAGCACCUCUCUGCUUAAAGAGUCUGUUCACUUUGUCUCCUGGAGCCUCACAAGCCUGACUCUUCAGGACAGACAUGGCCAACUUUGCACUGAAAAAGCAAACCAGUGUUUUUUACCAGAAAAUAUGAAGUGAAAUGAAUUUUUUAUUCAUGAAAAUUCCACCGAGUAUAAAUUCCCUGUCUAAAAGGAAUGGGGCCUUUGUAUUUCCCUUAAGUAAAUAAAUAGCUUCUUUCCUCAAGCAUUGUGA